rnacentral:tRNA from 1 species
AGAAACUUAGGAUAAUCUCCAAACCGAAGGCCUUCAAAGCCUUAAACAAGAGUUGAACCCUCUUAGUUUCUG